GAGUUUGAUCCUGGCUCAGGACGAACGCUGGCGGCGUGCUUAACACAUGCAAGUCGAACGGAGUACCCUCGAAAGAGAUUUCGGUCAAUGGAGAGGACUACUUAGUGGCGGACGGGUGAGUAACGCGUGAGGAACCUGCCUUUCAGAGGGGGACAACAGUUGGAAACGACUGCUAAUACCGCAUAACGUACGGGUAUCGCAUGGUACUGGUACCAAAGAUUUAUCGCUGAGAGAUGGCCUCGCGUCUGAUUAGCUAGUUGGUAGGGUAACGGCCUACCAAGGCGACGAUCAGUAGCCGGACUGAGAGGUUGGCCGGCCACAUUGGGACUGAGAUACGGCCCAGACUCCUACGGGAGGCAGCAGUGGGGAAUAUUGGGCAAUGGGCGCAAGCCUGACCCAGCAACGCCGCGUGAAGGAAGAAGGCUUUCGGGUUGUAAACUUCUUUUGACAGGGAAGAGCAGAAGACGGUACCUGUCGAAUAAGCCACGGCUAACUACGUGCCAGCAGCCGCGGUAAUACGUAGGUGGCAAGCGUUGUCCGGAUUUACUGGGUGUAAAGGGCGUGUAGCCGGGCUGACAAGUCAGAUGUGAAAUCCGGGGGCUCAACCCCCGAACUGCAUUUGAAACUGUUGGUCUUGAGUAUCGGAGAGGCAGGCGGAAUUCCUAGUGUAGCGGUGAAAUGCGU
rnacentral:rRNA from 1 species